rnacentral:rRNA from 1 species
UGGGGGAUAUUGCACAAUGGGCGAAAGCCUGAUGCAGCGACGCCGCGUGGGGGAUGAAGGCUUUCGGGUUGUAAACCUCUUUCGCUAUCGAACAAGGCCCGCUUAGGGUGGGUUGAGGGUAGGUGGAGAAGAAGCGCCGGCUAACUACGUGCCAGCAGCCGCGGUAAUACGUAGGGCGCGAGCGUUGUCCGGAAUUAUUGGGCGUAAAGGGCUUGUAGGCGGCUUGUUGCGCCUGCUGUGAAAACGCGGGGCUUAACUUCGCGCGUGCAUGGGGUACGGGCAGGCUUGAGUGUGGUAGGGGUGACUGGAAUUCCAGGUGUAGCGGUGGAAUGCGCAGAUAUCUGGAGGAACACCGAUGGCGAAGGCAGGUCACUGGGCCAUUACUGACGCUGAGGAGCGAAAGCAUGGGUAGCGAACAGG